rnacentral:lncRNA from 1 species
UGAGCUCUGUCAUGGCGACGUCCAGUGCUCCAGCCGGUGUGAGGACACGAUAUGCUGGGGUUUUUGUCCGCACGCCAAACGGGUUUGGAGGACCCUCUUCGCCUUCGGAGAGCAGAGUCAACACGGAGAGUUUUGGGACUGGAAUUAAAUAAAGACAGAGAUGUUGAAAGAAUCCACGGCGGUGGAAUUAACACCCUUGACAUUGAACCUGUUGAAGGGAGAUACAUGUUAUCAGGUGGUUCAGAUGGUGUGAUUGUACUUUAUGACCUUGAGAACUCCAGCAGACAAUCUUAUUACACAUGUAAAGCAGUGUGUUCCAUUGGCAGAGAUCAUCCUGAUGUUCACAGAUACAGUGUGGAGACUGUACAGUGGUAUCCUCAUGACACUGGCAUGUUCACAUCAAGCUCAUUUGAUAAAACUCUGAAAGUAUGGGAUACAAAUACAUUACAAGUAAGUACAUUAAAACAUUUGCAGAUUGCUUUGUAGGAUAAAGGAGAAUUUAAUCCUAAACCAUUUUAGUAUGAUUAUUUGCUGAGAUGUCAUAUAUGUUAGAUGUGAAAGCAGUACAGUGGUUAAGAAGAGCUAGACUACUUGAGUUCAUAUCCUGGCUGUGCUGCUGACAGCUGUAUGACAUUGGGCAAAUGUCCAAACCUCUGUGUGUCUUUCUCAUCUGUAAAUGGGAAUAAUGAUUAUAGUAUGGUUGUGAGGAUUAAAUGAGCCAAAAUAUGUAAAGUACCUAGUACAGUACAUAG